AUUCCACUGGAGUCGACUCGAAUCUCAGACCUGAAAAACUGCUCUUCUGUCCUUCUGUCUGUUUUCAGUCGGAGUCGACUCGUACUGAUCAGGAGUCGACUCGAGCUCGUGCCAGUGACCUUGAUACGCUUGGAGUCGACUCGUGAUACUCGGGAGUCGACUCGAGUCUCAGACAUUGGUUCAUGCAGACUUUUUAACUUAUCCAAAAUACUAUGAACCAAGUCUAGAAACACUUGGACAGGAUUUUCACUGAAACACUCAAUUGAAUUCAUUAGUAAUCACAAGAUAUACUCAAUUGCUUUGAGCUCAUCAAAAUCAAAUGGGGUUUUAAUCAAUCACUCCACAAUCUCUCCCUUUUUGAUGAUGACAAAACUUUGAGUAUAUGUAAAAUGAAUUACUCAUAAAACAAUGAAGUAAAAUCCAUAAAUAAAUUCAAAUGUCUGAUAAUUUAAUUUAUCCAAGUUUGAAGGGAGUGAAACAUUAAAUUUCGGAGUUAAAGCUCCCCCUUUCAUUUGGAAUUAUAUAAGCCUUCAUAUUAUGCAAUCAAUUGUUUGGCUUAUAUGUCAUUAAUGUUUUAGCUUGAUUAAAAUUCAGAUUCUC
rnacentral:lncRNA from 1 species